UACGUAGGGUGCAAGCGUUAAUCGGAAUUACUGGGCGUAAAGCGUACGCAGGCGGCUUUGCAAGACAGGUGUGAAAUCCCCGGGCCUAACCUGGGAACUGCAUUUGUGACUGCAUAGCUAGAGUUUGUCAGAGGGGGGUGGAAUUCCACGUGUAACAGUGAAAUGCGUAGAUAUGUGGAGGAACACCGAUGGCGAAGGCAGCCCCCUGGGAUGUGACUGACGCUCAUGUACGAAAGCGUGGGGAGCAAACAGG
rnacentral:rRNA from 1 species